UACGAAGGGUGCAAGCGUUACUCGGAAUUACUGGGCGUAAAGGCGUGCGCAGGCGGUUUGGUAAGACAGAUGUGAAAUCCCCGGGCUUAACCUGGGAAUUGCAUUUGUGACUGCCCGGCUAGAGUGUGUCAGAGGGAUGCAGAAUUCCAGGUGUAGCGGUGAAAAUGCGUAGAUAUCUGGAGGAAUACCGGUGGCGAAGGCGGCAUCCUGGACCGACAUUGACGCUGAUGAGCGAAAGCUAGGGGAGCAACGGG
rnacentral:rRNA from 1 species